rnacentral:rRNA from 1 species
CGCGUAGGCGGCUAGGUAAGUCCGACGUGAAAUCUGGAGGCUCAACCUCCAGCGGUCGUUGGAAACUACUUGGCUAGAGUCCGGAAGAGGAGAGUGGAAUUCCUGGUGUAGCGGUGAAAUGCGCAGAUAUCAGGAAGAACACCGAUGGCGAAAGCAGCUCUCUGGGACGGUACUGACGCUGAGGCGCGAAAGCGUGGGAGCGAACA